rnacentral:ncRNA from 1 species
UCUUAUCCAGAGUGGUGGAGGGACUGGCCCUGUGAAACCCGGCAACCUGUUAAUAGUUAAAACUUAACAGUUAAUAGUUGAAAUAAAAACAAAAAUGUUUUUAUUUUUUAGAAAUUUAGUAAAAUUUCAUAAAUAACUAUUAAUUAUAAACUAAAAACUAUUGACGUUGGUGCUAAUUCCUGCAGUUUUAUAACUGAGUGAUGAGA